rnacentral:rRNA from 1 species
CCUACGGGUGGCAGCAGUGAGGAAUAUUGGUCAAUGGGCGCGAGCCUGAACCAGCCAAGUAGCGUGAAGGAUGACUGCCCUACGGGUUGUAAACUUCUUUUAUAGAGGAAUAAAGUGAGGCACGUGUGCCUGUUUGUAUGUACUUUAUGAAUAAGGAUCGGCUAACUCCGUGCCAGCAGCCGCGGUAAUACGGAGGAUCCGAGCGUUAUCCGGAUUUAUUUGGGUUAAAGGGAGCGUAGAUGGGUUGUUAAGUCAGUUGUGAAAGUGUGCGGCCCAACCGUAAAAUUGCAAUUGAUACUGGCGGUCUUGAGUACAGUAGAGGUAGGCGGAAUUCGUGGUGUAGCGGUGAAAUGCUUAGAUAUCACGAAGAACUCCGAUUGCGAAGGCAGCUUACUGGACUGCCACUGACAUUGAUGCACGAAAGUGUGGGGAUCAAACAGGAUUAGAUACCCGUGUAGUC